CUGAUAAUACUGCUGUGGGACAAAUUGUGAUGAUCGCUGAUUCCAACCUUCCCCGAGGACUAUGGCCUGUCGGGACCAUCGCCAAGGUCUUCCCUGGGACGGAUGGCGUCGUUCGAGCUGCUGAGGUGAAGGUCAAGGACAGUCUCUACAUUCGCCCGGUAACCAAACUGGUGGAGCUUCCUGAAGUGCCUGAAGAUUUGGAUCGUCCUUCCAACUAGCGGACUUUGUAUGAGUGUAUUUGUUGCAAAUACAGGGGCGGCUGUUAAAAGUCCGUCUGUUAGUUUAGUUUACUACAUUACCCAAGAUGCAUCUGUUCAUUUUGUGAUUCCGUUUCACGUAGCUGGGUGGCUUGUUUUUCUGUGCUACUGUGUGGCUCGGUGGCAUGGAAGUGGCAUCCGCUGACAUCCACUAUCAACCUAUCUUGGGUCCUUUGUGUACGAAACCUGUGUGCGUUUUUAUGAUAUAACCACACACACACAUACACACACACACACACUCAUAUACGAAACAUCAAUAAACUUUUGAGCUGCACCAUUGGAGUCGCCCUAGUCCUUCUGACCGAGGAAGAGUCGAUUGACGAGAGAUCUGGAUUUAGCGCCUGCUUAGACGCACACAGUCUUCUACAAAAAGUUUCCU